rnacentral:rRNA from 1 species
GACGAACGCUGGCGGCGUGCUUAACACAUGCAAGUCGAACGGAAAGGCCCUGCUUUUGUGGGGUGCUCGAGUGGCGAACGGGUGAGUAACACGUGAGUAACCUGCCCUUGACUUUGGGAUAACUUCAGGAAACUGGGGCUAAUACCGGAUAGGAGCUCCUGCUGCAUGGUGGGGGUUGGAAAGUUUCGGCGGUUGGGGAUGGACUCGCGGCUUAUCAGCUUGUUGGUGGGGUAGUGGCUUACCAAGGCUUUGACGGGUAGCCGGCCUGAGAGGGUGACCGGCCACAUUGGGACUGAGAUACGGCCCAGACUCCUACGGGAGGUAGCAGUGGGGAAUAUUGCACAAUGGGCGGAAGCCUGAUGCAGCAACGCCGCGUGCGGGAUGACGGCCUUCGGGUGGUAAACCGCUUUCGCCUGUGACGAAGCGUGAGUGACGGUAAUGGGUAAAGAAGCACCGGCUAACUACGU